ensembl:snoRNA
AGGCAGUGCUCCAUGGCAGAUGAUUGAAAUUGUCUAACACAAUAUGAACUUGCUAUAGCAAGAAGGUUUAACCUAUUCAGGUGUUUUCUCCCCAUGAGAUCAGCUGUUGCAUAUACUUAAACAGU